rnacentral:rRNA from 1 species
UGGUGACCAUGGCGAGGGCGCAACACCCGUUCCCAUCCCGAACACGGACGUGAAGGACCUCCGCGGCGAUGAUACUGUGCGUUCGCACGGGAAAGUAGCACGUUGCCA